rnacentral:rRNA from 1 species
AAAAGAACUUUGAAAAGAGAGUUAAAAAGUGCGUGAAACCGUUGGAAGGGAAGCGAAUAGAGUUUGCAAUUCGCCUUGUCGUGCAUGCCCUCGAUCUUUCUAGACGAGCCUUGCACGACUGCGUUGCGUGACCGGUGCACUUCCGCUUGGCGAAAGUCAACGUCGGUUUGCGCGGAGUUAGAAAGCUGCAAGCACGGUAGAUCUUUCGGGAUCGGUAAGGUUUGCGUGCAAAUAGCUUCGUGCGGACCGAGUUCUGUCGCAGCACGUACCUGCAGGUUGAUGUCUUCGUCUUUGACACGGUUUAACGUCGCUCGACGGACGGCUUUGCCUGUGCGUUGGCGUGCGGCCGCUCAAACGAUGGAGGAAACAGACACGACGUGCUAAGGACGUUGACUGCUCGGCGGCUCUAUCCGACCCGUCUUGAAACACGGACCAAGGAGUCUAACAUGUGCGCAAGUCUCCGAGUGAUCGAAACUCGCUGGGCACAAUGAAAGUGAAUGCAGUCUCGGCUGCAGAGAUGAGAGGCUGUCGUAGCGGCAUCAUCGACCGACCUAUUCUAAUCUUAGAAAGGUUUGAGUUAGAGCGCAACUGUUGGGACCCGAAAGAUGGUGAACUAUGCCUGAAUAGGGCGAAGCCAGCGGAAACACUGGUGGAAGCCCGUAGCGAUUCUGACGUGCAAAUCGAUCGUCGAAUUUGGGUAUAGCGGCGAAAGACUAAUCGAACCAUCUAGUAGCUGGUUCCCUCCGAAGUUUCUCACAGGAUAGCUGGAACUCGGUGGCAGUUU